GAUGAAGAACGUAGCGAAAUGCGAUAAGUAAUGUGAAUUGCAGAAUUCAGUGAAUCAUCGAAUCUUUGAACGCACAUUGCGCCCCUUGGUAUUCCGGGGGGCAUGCCUGUUCGAGCGUCAUUUCAACCCUCAAGCUCUGCUUGGUAUUGGGCCCGGUGGGCGAUUGCCUUCCAGCCUUAAAGAGAGUGGCGGUGCCCCGCGGCCCUGAGCGUAGUAACUACUCCCGCUAUAGGUGUCCACGGGCUCACCAGCCAGCAACCCCAACUUUCUAUGGUUGACCUCGGAUCAGGUAGGGAUACCCGCUGAACUUAAGCAUAUCAAUAAGCGGAGGA
rnacentral:misc_RNA from 1 species